AUGAAAAAGCCGGUCUCAUCGCCACUAAAACCAUAUGUGCUGAGCGAGAGAAAACCAGACAUACAUAUGGAAAGUCCCAUUUGGGCAGGCCGAACAAACCGGCAGCAAUGCGAAAUGCUCUCUGGUGGAUUUGUGCGCCUUCGUUGGGAAAUUUUGAAAAGUGCGCAAGGCAAAGGGGUGGACCUAGUGAGCAACAAUAACAAAGGUAUCACAACAAGAGUCAGCAACCACCAAGCGCUUAUGUGCACAUAUUUUGGGAGCAACACAAACAACAACUGCAACACUAAUAUCAACACCAGAGACGACGACAAAUUGUUAGUGGUUGCGGCCGGGCGGGCGAUUCAUUUUACAAUUUCUCAGAUUUUUCAUUCAUUCGUCGAAUAAACGUCGACGUUGUCGGUUCGUGCAGACGGUGGUAUUUUUGCGUCUCUUUGUUAAUAAAAGCAAAAAAGAAUUUUAUCUGCUAAAUACUUAAGCGAGCUCAAGCAAUUUUUAGCGACAGCAAUAUAAGCAACAACAACGUACGGUUGCGAUAUCAUUAUUAAAAUAUUCGAUGCUAAUUAGAAAAAUAAAUCAAAUCAAAUAAAAAAAAAAUAAUAAUUUGUGUGGUGUUAGCAAAGCGUUAAUUGCAAUUUGGCAAUUACCAAGUAAUUGUGGAAGCGAAACUAAUAAAAAAAAGAAUAAAUAAAUAAAUAAAACACACAAAUUCAUAUUAACAAAUUAGUGCUUUUGGAGCGUGAAAUAUUCGACGUUAAGCCGGGUUUCUUGUAGUGGGAUAGAUUUGUUGUUUGUUUUGUAAUUUGACGCCGCGAAAGUGCGUUUUCAAUCAACCAUUUUAUUUGAAAGAAAAAUACAAGGCAAAAAUUUAUAUUGUAACAAAGCGCAGACAUACAGCAAUCGAAGUUAAUUAAAAUCGAAUUGUGGCAGCCAGCAACAGUAGGAGCAGCGCCAGCAAAUGAACAACAAUAAUAAUAAAAAAAAAAAAACACAGUGGCAGAAGCGGCCAGCAGCAGCGACAGUAGCACAAAAGCGAAAGAGCGCAAAUUAAAAGCAAAUAACGAAUAAUUGAGAAAUCACAUUUGUGACUGCGCGUUAAUUAAAUAACAACAACAGCUACAACAACAGUAAGAAUUGAAUGCUUGUACAAGAAAAAUCAAACAAUCAGUGUAAAGAAAAUACAUAAAAUCCGCAAACAAGGAAAAAAUAUUCGAAGUAAAAAAUUAACACAUCAACAAUAGUGAAGAAGUGCUAAUACGAGUGAAAAAAUAAUAUAUGUACAUAACAUAACGAGCUGGAUAGAGUGCGAGAGAAUUGCUGAAAAGUGUAUGCAACGAAAAUUGUUUGGAUAGAAGCAUUGCAGUUAAAAGUGUUUCUACACCAACAAAAAAUAAGUAAAACAACUACUAAAGUGUCUACAUUAAAUUUCAGAGUGCUAAAAUAACAAUUUCAUUAUAAACAACUAUAAAAAGCGGCAGUAAUCAAAAAACCCAUAAUUUACUUAGUAAUCAACACAAAUUUUCUACGGCAAUAAAUAGUUUUGAAAAUACGCGUGGAAAAUAAAAAACAAAACAUAUACAUAUACUAACGUAAAUAAAUUGAUGAAUAUAAAAAAACAGCAGCAGAUCGGCAUUUAAAAUUAUUAUAGUGGAAGAAUCGCAUUGCUGACGAAUAAGAAAAAGUCAUCAACUU